rnacentral:rRNA from 1 species
GAUGAACGCUGGCGGCGUGCCUAAUACAUGCAAGUCGAGCGAACAGACGAGGAGCUUGCUCCUCUGACGUUAGCGGCGGACGGGUGAGUAACGCGUGGAUAACCUACCUAUAAGACUGGGAUAACUUCGGGAAACCGGAGCUAAUACCGGAUAAUAUAUUGAACCGCAUGGUUCAAUAGUGAAAGACGGUUUUGCUGUCACUUAUAGAUGGAUCCGCGCCGCAUUAGCUAGUUGGUAAGGUAACGGCUUACCAAGGCAACGAUGCGUAGCCGACCUGAGAGGGUGAUCGGCCACACUGGAACUGAGACACGGUCCAGACUCCUACGGGAGGCAGCAGUAGGGAAUCUUCCGCAAUGGGCGAAAGCCUGACGGAGCAACGCCGCGUGAGUGAUGAAGGUCUUCGGAUCGUAAAACUCUGUUAUUAGGGAAGAACAAAUGUGUAAGUAACUAUGCACGUCCUGACGGUACCUAAUCAGAAAGCCACGGCUAACUACGUG